rnacentral:lncRNA from 12 species
CGUCGAGGUCAGGUCGGCCGGGAAGCGGUCGGGCGCGGCCCCAGCGGCCCGGCGGCCGCCGCGUAGGGCCCGGGCAGCGCGUCCAGCAUGAGGCCGGCGGGCGGGGCCCCGAAGGCGGCGGCGUGGCUCGGGGGCGCCAGGCCCGCGGCGCCCGCCUCGCCGGGCAGCGUCAUAAGGCUGAUGGGGUGGGCUAAGGCACUGCGCGAGGGCGCCGGCGGCGCGUACGGGGCGGCGCCCUUGCCGGGGCCGGGGUAGGCGGCCGCGCCCGCCAGCGCCAGCUCCCCGGGCGCGCCGAGCACCGGGCCGGGCCUGGGCGCGGGCGGCGGCAGCAGCGCGGGCAGCGCCCCCGGGCGGAAGGGCGCGGCGGCGGGCGCGAAGCUGGCCUGCUUGUUCUCCUGGAUGGUCUGCAUGGGCAGGCGGCGCAGCGCGCCCAGCGCCGGCGGCCCGAAGGCCCCGCCCGCGCCCCCGCCCGCGCCCGCGCCCGCGCCCGCGCCCCCGUAGGCGCCGCCCUUGCAGCCGCCGAAGUAGGCGGGCGUCCCGGCCCGGGCCCGCGGCCCGUACGCGUCCUGCGCGCCGUCCAGCAGGGCCUCGGGCAGCCCCGCGCCGCCGCCGUGCAGCCCCAGCGCGCCCCCCAGCUCGGCCAGGCGCGGCAGCUCCCCGGGGCAGCGCGCCCCCAGCGCGGGCGACAGCGCGCUCGCCGGGCUCGGGUACAUGAGCGGCGACGACGGCGCCAGGGCCUCCAGGGCCUCGGCUGGCUCCCAGGGGAAACUGAGGAGCCCCAGAGGGUUCUGGAGCAUGAGGGAUCCUUGGGGCAGGCGGGCUGGGGUGCUUGGGGCUGAGACUGCACAGCGCUGGGAGAAACAUGGGAAAGACCGGCCGGUGUCUAAAUCCAGCCUCAGCCUCGUCCCAGCCAUGCUGCCCCGGCCAAGUGACUUCACCUUUCUUGGCCUCCAUUUCCUUAACUGAAAAAUGGGGCUAUUAACACAUACCUGGCAGGGUCCAGGGAGGAUGUAAAACAAGAACGUACGCAUGUGAAGUGCCCAACAGCCUAGCACCCAGACGUUAAUUCUCUUAAUUCCUGUUCCCCUUCCCACAACAGGCAACGCCCCCCCAGAGACCAGAAAGGUUUCUCUGCAAAGAGGGAGGCCCUGGGGGGGGGGAGGGUGUGGGAGGCCCCUCCCCCACACGCCACCUGGCCCCCCUCCCACCUCCACAUAUGGGUUGGGGGGUGGGGAGAGGCAGCAAACAGCCAAACCCUCCCAAACAGGAGUUGGUUUCCAUGGUAACCAGGGUGCCAGGAGGAAGGGGGGGCACUCCAGAUCCAGCUGUCCCCCUGAGCGCCCUACCCAGGCCCCAGAGCCUUAGUCAAUGCCCACCCAACACCCUGCACUCCCAUCUGUCUGCUCUGGGGGCCCACCCCAGAGACUGCCACGAGCACACCCUUCAUAGUGUCCAAAGUAUGUUUGCACCAGGGUAUUGCCAAGGUCAGGGUAGGCCUCCCCAAGCAGGACCCAAGUUCUAGUCCAUCCACACCUGUAUUCACAGGCCCGCACCCCUGAGAAGUCCUAUUAGUACUUCGUGCCUAGGUCCCAACUAACCGACCCCCCUGGCUUCUCGAACCAGAGGGCUUGUCAGCCGGAGGCCUGAAAGAACCAGGGAUCCCGCGAAGGGCCUUUGGGUGCUGAUGAGGACCUCAAGGAUCAGAAUGGGAGAGAGCCUUGCUCCAGCUCACACACUGGAUCAGAACCCUGAUGGGCGCUCUGUGGGCGCUCUGUGCACCCCUCCACCGCUCGGGAUCCCACCGCUCCAGCUGACCCAAACCCUGAACUAAUACACCGG